rnacentral:rRNA from 1 species
ACACCCGUUCCCAUGCCGAACACGGAAGUUAAGCUCUUCAGCGCCGAUGGUAAUUGGGGGAUCUCCCCCUGUAAGAGUAGGACAUCGCCGGGC